AGCUAGCCCAACCCCUUAAAAACAACAAAUAACUACAAAUACCCCUUAUGCCCCAUAUAAAUUAAACCAUUUUUCCACCUAAGUACGGGAGACAGAAAAAGACACAUGGAGCCAUAGAAAAAGUACCGCAAGGGAAAGCUGAAAAAGAAAUGAAAAAACCACAAAGAGAAAAACAGCAGAGAUUAAGACUCGUACCUUUUGCAUUAUGGAUUAGCCAGAAACUCACAAGCAAAGCGCACUUUAGUCUGGUGACCCGAAACUAAGUGAGCUACUUCAAGGCAGCCAAAUACAAGGGCAAACCCGUCUCUGUGGCAAAAGAGUGGGAAGACCUUCAAGUAGAGGUGAUAAACCUACCGAACUAAGUAAUAGCUGGUUGCCUAAGAAUUGAAUAAAAGUUCAGCCUUUUAACUUCUCUAGCCCACCAAGCACAUGCCUUAACCCCGGCACAAGAAAUCAAAAGAGUUAAUCGAAGGGGGUACAGCCCCCUCGAACCAAGACACAACUUUAUCAAGAAGGUAAAAGAUCAUAUCAAUUAAACAUUGUAUUUCAGUGGGCUUAAGAGCAGCCACCCAACAAGAAAGCGUUAAAGCUCAAAUACAUAUUAAUCCCUAUUAAGACAUAAUAUCUUAAACCCCUAGUCCUAUUAGGCCUCUCCAUGCUCACAUGGAGGCGACCCUGCUAAUAUGAGUAAUAAGAAGGCCAAGGCCUUCUCCUGGCACUAGCAUGUAUCAGAAUGGACUCUCCACUGAAAAUCAACGUCCCCAAACAAAGAGGGAACUGAACAAGACAAAAUUACCCAGAAAAAUGUUCAACAAGCAAACGUCAAUCCUACACUAGGCGUGCCUAAGGAAAGACUAAAAGGAAAAGAAGGAACUCGGCAAACACAAGCUCCGCCUGUUUACCAAAAACAUCGCCUCUUGCAUAUAAAAUAUAAGGGGUCCUGCCUGCCCUGUGACUCUAUGUUUAACGGCCGCGGUAUUUUAACCGUGCAAAGGUAGCGCAAUCACUUGUCCCUUAAAUAGAGACCUGUAUGAAUGGCAUAACGAGGGCUAAACUGUCUCCUUUCCCUAGUCAAUGAAAUUGAUUUACCCGUGCAGAAGCGGGUAUAAAACCCGUUAAGACGAGAAGACCCUAUGGAGCUUUAAGACAAAAGAUAGAUUAUGUCAAAUACCCUUAAUAAUGGCUUGAACCAAAUAAAUCCUAUCCCUAUCUUUGGUUGGGGCGACCGCGGGGAAACAACCAACCCCCACAUGGAAUAAGUACACCCAUACCUUUAAAACCAGAGCCACAGCUCUAAUAAACAGAAUAUCUGCCCACACAGAUCCGGCAGAAUGCCGAUCAAUGGACCAAGUUACCCUAGGGAUAACAGCGCAAUCCCCUUCUAGAGCCCCUAUCGACAAGGGGGUUUACGACCUCGAUGUUGGAUCAGGACAUCCUAACGGUGUACCCGCUUUUAAGGGUUCGUUUGUUCAACGAUUAAAGUCCUACGUGAUCUGAGUUCAGACCGGAGAAAUCCAGGUCAGUUUCUAUCUACAAAAUGUUCUUUUCUAGUACGAAAGGACCGAAAAGAAAAGGCCACCGCUUAAAACAAGCCUUACCCCAACCUAAUGAAAACAACUAAAUUAGAUAAUGAGGCAUAUUCAUACCCGCCCGAGAAAAGGGCAU
rnacentral:rRNA from 1 species